rnacentral:rRNA from 1 species
UACGAAGGGGGGCUAGCGUUGCUCGGAGUCACUGGGCGUAAAGCGCACGUAGGCGGACUCUUAAGUCGGUGGUGAAAUCCUGGAGCUCAACUCCAGAACUGCCUUUGAUACUGGCAAUCUUGAGUCCGGAAGAGGUGAGUGGAAUUCCUAGUGUAGAGGUGAAAUUCGUAGAUAUUAGGAAGAACACCAGUGGCGAAGGCGGCUCACUGGUCCGGUACUGACGCUGAGGUGCGAAAGCGUGGGGGAGCAAACAGG